rnacentral:rRNA from 1 species
CACGUAGGGCGCAAGCGUUGUCCGGAAUUAUUGGGCGUAAAGAGCUCGUAGGCGGUCUGUUGCGUCUGCUGUGAAAACCCGGGGCUUAACCCCUGGCUUGCAGUGGAUACGGACAGACUAGAGGUAGGUAGGGGAGAAUGGAAUUCCCGGUGUAGCGGUGAAAUGCGCAGAUAUCGGGAGGAACACCGGUGGCGAAGGCGGUUCUCUGGGCCUUACCUGACGCUGAGGCGCGAAAGCUAGGGGAGCAAACGGG